rnacentral:rRNA from 1 species
CAAUAGCGUAUAUUAAAGUUGUUGCGGUUAAAAAGCUCGUAGUUGGAUUUCAACAAGGGGAAAGGUUCACAUUGUGACAUCUGGAAACUUGUUUUCCAAACUCUUAACAUUGAUUGACUUCAAUUGUUUAUGUUUGGAACUGUUACUUUGAGGAAAUUAGAGUGUUUAAAGCAGAUUUACGUCAUGAAUAUAUUAGCAUGGAAUAACAAUAAGGAUUUUGGCCUAUAUUUGUUGGUUUACUGGCUAAAAUAAUGAUGAAUAGGGACAGUCGGGGGCAUUUGUAUUUAACAGUCAGAGGUGGAAUUCUUGGAUUUGUUAAGGACAAACUACUGCGAAAGCAUUUGCCAAGGAUGUUUUCAUUGA